UAUCUUGUGGACUAAUAGGUAAGUCAUAAAUUUUUGGUAUUUACUAUUGAGUGUUCGAAUCACUCCAAGAUAA
rfam:Metarhizium anisopliae BRIP 53293 unplaced genomic scaffold Scaffold_65, whole genome shotgun sequence.